rfam:Triticum urartu cultivar G1812 contig1014244, whole genome shotgun sequence.
UUUAUAGUUUCUUCGUCUGAAAAUACUUGUCAUCAAAAUGAAUAAAAAAAAAUAUAUCUAGAAAUAAAAUACAUCUAGAUACAUUUUUUUUAAAAUCCAUUUUAAUGACAAGUAUUUCCAGACAGAGGGAGUACUCC